rnacentral:piRNA from 1 species
UCACAUAUUGCCUUUGUCCGAUUGUCUUG